CAACAGGGAUUGCCCCAGUAACGGCGAGUGAAGCGGCAACAGCUCAAAUUUGAAAUCUGGCUCUCGGGCCCGAGUUGUAAUUUGUAGAGGAUGCUUUUGGUGAGGUGCCUUCCGAGUUCCCUGGAACGGGACGCCAUAGAGGGUGAGAGCCCCGUCUGGUUGGACACCGAUCCUCUGUAAAGCUCCUUCGACGAGUCGAGUAGUUUGGGAAUGCUGCUCUAAAUGGGAGGUAUAUGUCUUCUAAAGCUAAAUACCGGCCAGAGACCGAUAGCGCACAAGUAGAGUGAUCGAAAGAUGAAAAGAACUUUGAAAAGAGAGUUAAAAAGUACGUGAAAUUGUUGAAAGGGAAGCGCUUGUGACCAGACUUGGGCUUGGUUGAUCAUCCGGGGUUCUCCCCGGUGCACUCUUCCGGCUCAGGCCAGCAUCAGUUCGCCCUGGGGGAUAAAGGCUUCGGGAAUGUGGCUCUCUCCGGGGAGUGUUAUAGCCCGCUGCGUAAUACCCUGUGGCGGACUGAGGUUCGCGCAUUCGCAAGGAUGCUGGCGUAAUGGUCAUCAGUGACCCGUCUUGAAACACGGACCAAGGAGUCGUCUUCGUAUGCGAGUGUUCGGGUGUCAAACCCCUACGCGAAAUGAAAGUGAACGCAGGUGAGAGCUUCGGCGCAUCAUCGACCGAUCCUGAUGUUAUCGGAUGGAUUUGAGUAAGAGCAUACGGGGCCGGACCCGAAAGAAGGUGAACUAUGCCUGUGUAGGGUGAAGCCAGAGGAAACUCUGGUGGAGGCUCGCAGCGGUUCUGACGUGCAAAUCGAUCGUCAAACAUGGGCAUGGGGGCGAAAGACUAAUCGAACCUUCUAGUAGCUGGUUUCCGCCGAAGUUUCCCUCAGGAUAGCAGUGUUGAACUCAGUUUUAUGAGGUAAAGCGAAUGAUUAGGGACUCGGGGGCGCUAUUUAGCCUUCAUCCAUUCUCAAACUUUAAAUAUGUAAGAAGCCCUUGUUGCUUAAUUGACGUGGGCAUCGAUGAUCACACUAGUGGGCAUUUUGGUAGCAGACUGGCGAUGCGGGAUGACGACGCGAGGUAAGGUGCCAGAGUAGACGCCUCAUCAGAC
rnacentral:rRNA from 1 species